GGCUCGUUGGUCCAGGGGUAUGAUUCUUGCUUAGGGUGCAAGAGGUCUUGGGUUCAGCUCCUGGACGAGCCC